rnacentral:rRNA from 1 species
AGUGAACGCUGGCGGUAGGCCUAACACAUGCAAGUCGAACGGCAGCACAGUAAGAGCUUGCUCUUACGGGUGGCGAGUGGCGGACGGGUGAGGAAUACAUCGGAAUCUACUUUUUCGUGGGGGAUAACGUAGGGAAACUUACGCUAAUACCGCAUACGACCUGCGGGUGAAAGCAGGGGAUCUUCGGACCUUGCGCGAUUGAAUGAGCCGAUGUCGGAUUAGCUAGUUGGCGGGGUAAAGGCCCACCAAGGCGACGAUCCGUAGCUGGUCUGAGAGGAUGAUCAGCCACACUGGAACUGAGACACGGUCCAGACUCCUACGGGAGGCAGCAGUGGGGAAUAUUGGACAAUGGGCGCAAGCCUGAUCCAGCCAUACCGCGUGAGUGAAGAAGGCCUUCGGGUUGUAAAGCCCUUUUGUUGGGAAAGAAAAGCAGCAGGUUAAUACCCCGCUGUUCUGACGGUACCCAAAGAAUAAGCACCGGCUAACUUCGUG